rnacentral:rRNA from 2 species
AACGGUCCUAAGGUAGCGAAAUUCCUUGUCGGGUAAGUUCCGACCUGCACGAAUGGCGUAAUGAUGGCCAGGCUGUCUCCACCCGAGACUCAGUGAAAUUGAACUCGCUGUGAAGAUGCAGUGUACCCGCGGCAAGACGGAAAGACCCCGUGAACCUUUACUAUAGCUUGACACUGAACAUUGAGCCUUGAUGUGUAGGAUAGGUGGGAGGCUUUGAAGUGUGGACGCCAGUCUGCAUGGAGCCGACCUUGAAAUACCACCCUUUAAUGUUUGAUGUUCUAACGUGGACCCGUAAUCCGGGUUGCGGACAGUGUCUGGUGGGUAGUUUGACUGGGGCGGUCUCCUCCUAAAGAGUAACGGAGGAGCACGAAGGUUGGCUAAUCCUGGUCGGACAUCAGGAGGUUAGUGCAAUGGCAUAAGCCAGCUUGACUGCGAGCGUGACGGCGCGAGCAGGUGCGAAAGCAGGUCAUAGUGAUCCGGUGGUUCUGAAUGGAAGGGCCAUCGCUCAACGGAUAAAAGGUACUCCGGGGAUAACAGGCUGAUACCGCCCAAGAGUUCAUAUCGACGGCGGUGUUUGGCACCUCGAUGUCGGCUCAUCACAUCCUGGGGCUGAAGUAGGUCCCAAGGGUAUGGCUGUUCGCCAUUUAAAGUGGUACGCGAGCUGGGUUUAGAACGUCGUGAGACAGUUCGGUCCCUAUCUGCCGUGGGCGCUGGAGAACUGAGGGGGGCUGCUCCUAGUACGAGAGGACCGGAGUGGACGCAUCACUGGUGUUCGGGUUGUCAUGCCAAUGGCACUGCCCGGUAGCUAAAUGCGGAAGAGAUAAGUGCUGAAAGCAUCUAAGCACGAAACUUGCCCCGA